UGCUGCUUGGAGUCUAGACUUUUUGGUGGUGGUUUUUUUCGGAAGGAGUUGCCCAGUAAAGCUUCUCUCUCUCUCGUCGUGUUGCAUGUCAGUAGCUACUUGCCACUGUGUGUCAGCAGCCAUGGCAUCCUUUUAUCUUGGCAGGUUUUGGUGACCUUUUUUUAGCCACAAUUGGGGUAGAAAAAGAAUAUCAGAUUGAAUCGGCAUGUACGGCGUCUCUGGUUUGGCAGACUCAUGAUGAACGUUUGUUCCAAAACUUUUGCCGGAAGGCCAGUCAGCUGGUGACAUAUUGUGUGUCAUUAGUGGCUGAUUUGUUCCCCAUCCCUACUGCCGCUCCUAUUCACACUCAAACAAGGUCUUGGAGUUUUGCUUCUGCUUGGUCUUCUAAGUCUAAUUUUAGUAAGCAAGUGUUUUGGCAGCUCCCUCUCCUUGGAGCAGUCAAGUUUAAUUUUGAUGGUACUGUCGUUAAUGGAGCAGUGGCAGCAGCCUUUGUUCUUUGCAAUCAGGAUGGUCGGUUGUUAUUAUCAUCCUCUAUACUAUUUGCCGAGAUGGUUAGUGUAUGGAUGCAUCUAGAGGUGGCGUUAUCUUAUGGUCAGCUUUUGCAAUUGUGGAUUGAGGGGGACUCGUGCACAGUUAUUCAAUGGAUAACAGUACCUCAACAUUCAAUGGAUGUCAUAUCCUUGGUUGGAACGCAGUUCUUUCUGUGUGCCAUAUUUCUCAUGCGUUUCGAGAAGCUAAUCAGACGGUUGACCGGUCGGCUUCUCGUACCUUAACGGGUUCCUUUCUCUUUUUAGAGUUUGAUGUGCUACUUGGCUGAUCUGAUUUGAAUUCUUCGUUCUACUGCAAUUGAAACCAUUUAUUUGCGACA